AGGGAAAAUGAAAAGUGCAACUGACAAAGACAGUCAAACCCUCCUUUGUCUGCUCAGCUCCUAGUCCUGGUUACCUGGUUCAUACUCACCUCCCUCAGCCAGUUGUUCAAGAUGUACUAGCUCAUUUAUGACCCCAGCCUGUGUGGUUUGACAGGAAUGACUCCACCUACAGUCCAUCCAAGGUAAGCACUUAGCUCAAGCCCGGCCAA
rnacentral:lncRNA from 1 species